GACGAACGCUGGCGGCGUGGAUUAGGCAUGCAAGUCGAACGGUAUCAUCCUUUCGGGGGUGAGAGAGUGGCGAACUGGUGAGUAACACGUAGGUUAUCUACCCUCAAGACGGGGACAACCCAGGGAAACUUGGGCUAAUACCGGAUGUGAGCAACUUUUAGUUGUUUGAAAGGUGGCGUAAGCUGUCGCUUGGGGAUGAGCCUGCGUCCUAUUAGUUAGUUGGUGAGGUAACGGCUCACCUAGGCAAUGAUAGGUAGGCGGCCUUAACGGGUGGUCGCCCACACUGGGAUUGAGAUACGGCCCAGACUCCUACGGGAGGCAGCAGUCGAGAAUAGUCUACAAUGGUCGGAAGACUGAUAGUGCGACGCCGCGUGAACGAUGAAUCCCUUCGGGGUGUAAAGUUCUUUUAUAUGUGAGCAGUGCUUCUUAUAUUAACAGUACGGGGAGAGAGAUAUUAGCAUAUGAAUAAGCAACGGCUAACUCCGUGCCAGCAGCCGCGGUAAACUCGU
rnacentral:rRNA from 1 species